UACGUAGGGGGCAAGCGUUGUCCGGAAUCAUUGGGCGUAAAGAGCGUGUAGGCGGUUUGUCGCGUCUGCCGUGAAAGUCCGGGGCUCAACUCCGGAUCUGCGGUGGGUACGGGCAGACUAGAGUGAUGUAGGGGAGACUGGAAUUCCUGGUGUAGCGGUGAAAUGCGCAGAUAUCAGGAGGAACACCGAUGGCGAAGGCAGGUCUCUGGGCAUUAACUGACGCUGAGGAGCGAAAGCAUGGGGAGCGAACAGG
rnacentral:rRNA from 1 species